rnacentral:rRNA from 1 species
UACGUAGGGUGCGAGCGUUGUCCGGAAUUAUUGGGCGUAAAGAGCUUGUAGGUGGUUUGUCGCGUCUGCUGUGAAAAUCCGAGGCUCAACCUCGGACUUGCAGUGGGUACGGGCAGACUAGAGUGUGGUAGGGGAGACUGGAAUUCCAGGUGUAGCGGUGGAAUGCGCAGAUAUCAGGAGGAACACCGAUGGCGAAGGCAGGUCUCUGGGCCAUUACUGACACUGAGAAGCGAAAGCAUGGGGAGCGAACAGG